GGGAAAUGAGCAAAUGCAAAUUUCUCAUGAUUCAAGUUUAAAAGAAAUUAUCAAGCAUUCCGUAAACUUUUUGAGCAAAUUAUUUGUUGCUUACAUUGAGCUCCUUUUCUAAAGAGCAAAGCAGUCAAAGAUACAGAUGUUAAGAGAAAAGGAGAAUUUUAAUGACCUGAAGGUUAAAUCAACAAGUAAAUUGUACAGGCUCAUGCGACAUAUAAGAUCCCAAGAGGGAACUCAAAGAAAGCAGGGUUCAAAAAGAAAGCAAGGUAGAAAGGAAGCACAAAGAAGAGGGUCUUACAACAAUAGAGGCCACACCUCAGCUAAUUAGGAGCACAAUGCAUCACAUUUUAUCAUUAUGUAAAUAAAAUACAUGUAACUAUUGUGUAAAACUUUGCUUCUUAUCAAAUUUUUGUU
rnacentral:lncRNA from 1 species